rnacentral:tRNA from 1 species
UUUAAAUAGUUUAAAUUAAAAUACUGAUUUGUGGUAUCAGAGAUAUAUUUAUUAUUUUAAAUAA